rnacentral:tRNA from 1 species
GCCUCAGUAGCUAAUGUUUAAAGCACUGAACUUUUGAUUCAGAGAUGGUUGAAGAAUCCAGAGGCG